AAAGAGCAGUCAUCUAGAGCCCACCCAUUUGACUUCAACCUCGCUUUCCUUGGCCAUUUCAUAAACGGUAUCAGAUGGUCCUUGGCACCACUUAGUGAUGGUCCUAACCUCUGCCUGGCUACCUGUAAACCACAGCAGGGGGUGUCCUAAUGUUUUUAAAGGUGGAGAGGUGGAACUGAGGGAAGGAAGGAAGUUUGAUUGGAAAGGGGUUAGAUUAAGCCUCUUAGUGAAGGAUGAGGUCAACAUUUGUGAUUUUUUUUGUUGUUGUUCUAAUCAACAGGGCCUGUUUUGGAGACAAGAGGCUUUAAACAGAAAGGGCUGGGGGUGGGACUCCACAGUGACCUACUGCAGGCUGCUUCCUUGAAGGAAAAUCAGCAGCUUCUCAAGAGACCCAUUUAUACAAAGGAACUCUCCCCUCCCUUCCCCCACUGCCCCUUCCCUUUCCCGCUCCUCUCCAGUUUGGCUGCUGCCAUAUCCCUUCUGUACGUCCUUCCCUGACUCCACCUAAAGCCAGGCACCCUUGCUGCCCUAGAGAUUGUUGGGACUCGCUCCCAGUGCCUUGCUUUCUGGGCAGAGGGGAAGUUCUGCUGGGCCCAGAGGUGAAGUAAGACUGCCUCUGGUCUCUUUCCCAUCUUAUCAGGGAAUUCCUGGCGGGCACAGACACGCGUACACAAAACCACACACAGAUACACUCAGCCCAAGCCAGUGAUGACGUUCCCCUGCCUGGCUGGUUCUACGUAUGGGUGUGACUAGGUCAAAGAGGACAGGGAGGGUCUAAAUAUUUAGAUACUGGACUGCCAA
rnacentral:lncRNA from 1 species